rnacentral:rRNA from 1 species
CAGUAGCCGCGGUAAUACGUAGGGUGCAAGCGUUAAUCGGAAUUACUGGGCGUAAAGCGUGCGCAGGCGGUUAUAUAAGACAGAUGUGAAAUCCCCGGGCUCAACCUGGGAACUGCAUUUGUGACUGUAUAGCUAGAGUACGGCAGAGGGGGAUGGAAUUCCGCGUGUAGCAGUGAAAUGCGUAGAUAUGCGGAGGAACACCGAUGGCGAAGGCAAUCCCCUGGGCCUGUACUGACGCUCAUGCACGAAAGCGUGGGGAGCAAACAGGAUUAGAGACCCCUGUAGUCCCUGUUCUUAUACA